rnacentral:rRNA from 1 species
CCCUUAGACGUUCUGGGCCGCACGCGCGCUACACUGACCAGUGCAACAAGCAUCCGUCCUUGGCCGACAGGCCCGGGCAAUCUUUGAACGCUGGUCGUGAUGGGGAUAGACUUUUGCAAUUUUUGGUCUUCAACGAGGAAUUCCUAGUAAACGCAAGUCAUCAACUUGCAUUGAUUACGUCCCUGCCCUUUGUACACACCGCCCGUCGCACCUACCGAUUGAAUGGUCCGGUGAAGCCUCCGGAUUGGCGCGCACCUCGGUGCCGCCGAGAAGUUGGCUAAACCUUACCAUUUAGAGGAGGGUGAANUCGUANCA